AAUCAACGCUGGCGGCGUGCCUCAGACAUGCAAGUCGAACGCGAAAGUUUCCUUCGGGAGAUGAGUAGAGUGGCGCACAGGUGAGUAACACGUGAGUAAUUUACCUUCGGGUGGGGAAUACUAACCGGAAACGGUUGUUAAUACCGCAUAAUGCAGCGGCAUCAAUGAUGACAGUUGUUAAAGCGGGGGAUUGGAGCAAUCCGACCUCGCGCCUGAAGAGAAGCNCGCGGCAGAUUAGCUAGUUGGUAAGGUAAUGGCUUACCAAGGCGACGAUCUGUAACCGGCCUGAGAGGGCGGUCGGGUCACACUGACACUGAAUAACGGGUCAGACUCCUACGGGAGGCAG
rnacentral:rRNA from 1 species